AUUCAAUAUAAUUCCUACAAAUUUAAUGCACUUGAUCCCAUUAUAACUCUGUAGUUAAGUGAACUUGGGCUAGAGUAGUAUUGGGAUGGGUGACCUCCCAUGAAGUACUAGUGUUUUACAUG
rnacentral:rRNA from 1 species